UUGCGUGACAUGGGCAGCGAAAGGUGACUCGAGCUAUCCCAAAAAGCCGUCUCAGUCAGAUGCACUCUGCACUCGAGUGCAUGAAGGUGGAAUCGCUAGUAAUCGUGGAUCAGCAUGCCACGGUGAAUACGUUCCCGGGCUUGUACACACCGCCCGUCACACCAUGGGAGUUGGGUUUACCCGAAGGCGUCGCGCUAACCGCAAGGAGGCAGGCGACCACGGUAGGCUCAGCGACUGGGGUGAAGUCGUAACAAGGUAGCCGUAGGGGAACCUGCGGCUGGAUCACCUCCUUUCUAAGGUAGAGGACUUCACGAAGCUUGCUUCGUAUCGACCUCUCUUCAGAACAAAAGAGGCCAGUCAGGCCUCGACAUGCGGAACUUCGCCGUCUUCGUUUCUCUUUCUCUUUCCGGGCGAAUGCGCUGGAUCGAUAAGCUUAAGCGCUUGUCUCCAUCGUAUUCUGGGCCAAGCCAGGCUUUGGCCGGUCGAUCUUUGGAUCGAUUUGCCUUGGGCCUGUAGCUCAGUUGGUUAGAGCGCGCGCUUGAUAAGCGUGAGGUCGGAGGUUCAAAUCCUCCCAGGCCCACCAGUCAUCGAACGUGUCUGAACCUUCGAUUGCGUCCGUUACCUCCCGGGGCCAUAGCUCAGUUGGGAGAGCGGUAGCUUUGCAAGCUUCAGGUCGUCGGUUCGAUCCCGUCUGGCUCCACCAAAUCCGGAAAGUAUUCAAGUUCGUAUCAUCGGAAACGAUGGUUACGCUGCUGUUUGUCAUUGUGAAGAGGGAAUGUAUUCGAGAGCUGCUCAUCCUGCAGCAUGCGGAAUGUCCGACACCAUCGGCUUCCGUUAAAUCGGGUACAUUCGGCAAGCAUAAUGGUCUUUCUGAUCAUAUGUUCAGCGAGUUGAUCUCGCGGACAUCGAUCAUGAGAACGAUCAAGUGCCUUAAGAGCAUUCGGUGGAUGCCUUGGCGCUGAGAGGCGAUGAAGGACGUGAUACGCUGCGAUAAGCCGUG
rnacentral:misc_RNA from 1 species